AUGAACGCUGGCGGCGUGCCUAAUCCCUGCAAGUCGAGCGAACGGACGAGAAGCUUGCUUCUCUGAUGUUAGCGGCGGACGGGUGAGUAACACGUGGAUAACCUACCUAUAAGACUGGGAUAACUUCGGGAAACCGGAGCUAAUACCGGAUAAUAUUUUGAACCGCAUGGUUCAAAAGUGAAAGACGGUCUUGCUGUCACUUAUAGAUGGAUCCGCGCUGCAUUAGCUAGUUGGUAAGGUAACGGCUUACCAAGGCAACGAUGCAUAGCCGACCUGAGAGGGUGAUCGGCCACACUGGAACUGAGACACGGUCCAGACUCCUACGGGAGGCAGCAGUAGGGAAUCUUCCGCAAUGGGCGAAAGCCUGACGGAGCAACGCCGCGUGAGUGAUGAAGGUCUUCGGAUCGUAAAACUCUGUUAUUAGGGAAGAACAUAUGUGUAAGUAACUGUGCACAUCUUGACGGUACCUAAUCAGAAAGCCACGGCUAACUACGUG
rnacentral:rRNA from 1 species